GACGAACGCUGGCGGCGUGCUUAACACAUGCAAGUCGAACGAAGAGCGAUGGAAGCUUGCUUCUAUCAAUCUUAGUGGCGAACGGGUGAGUAACGCGUAAUCAACCUGCCCUUCAGAGGGGGACAACAGUUGGAAACGACUGCUAAUACCGCAUACGAUCUAAUCUCGGCAUCGAGGAUAGAUGAAAGGUGGCCUCUACAUGUAAGCUAUCACUGAAGGAGGGGAUUGCGUCUGAUUAGCUAGUUGGAGGGGUAACGGCCCACCAAGGCGAUGAUCAGUAGCCGGUCGUAGAGGAUGAACGGCCACAAUGGGACUGAGACACGGCCCAGACUCCUACGGGAGGCAGCAGUGGGGAAUCUUCCGCAAUGGACGAAAGUCUGACGGAGCAACGCCGCGUGAGUGAUGACGGCCUUCGGGUUGUAAAGCUCUGUUAAUCGGGACGAAAGGCCUUCUUGCGAAUAGUGAGAAGGAUUGACGGUACCGGAAGAGAAAGCCACGGCUAACUACGUG
rnacentral:rRNA from 1 species